CUAUAAUGUCUGAAACAGUUCGGCCAUUAGUGAACCUUCCAUUAGGCAAACCAUUGCCAAAAUCUAUACCGUAAAAGGGCAGAUUCGCCUGCGCUAAGCUCCUCGGUAGGUUCCUAUUGUUGCCUACAUCAGACAACGAGUCCCCAAAUAUAAACUGGACGAUCUUGCAAUCGUAGCCGUCAGAAGCAUUGAGUCCAAGAACGAUGAGCAACACGAAUAUAGCGCAGAAGUACUUCAUGUCGCACAACAAAAUCAAAAUGUGUGUUGAUUGAGAACGAUUUGUUUGGUGGUUUAUAAAAGGGGGUUUGGAGGUGAAAUAUAAGACAAGUAAGAAAAGUGAAGGUAGAUUUUGAGUUGAUGAACCAACUGAUUUUGUAUAUUAUUUUUUGUUUUAUGUUUUAUUCAAACCUACUUUCAACUACUCUUUCCUCGUGUUGGUCUCAUAAGUUGUAACCGUUUCUUGUCCGUAAAUUCGUAAUUUUGUUUCUCUUGGGAACUGUUUUGUUUUCGUGGUUUCCGUGGGGUAAAUAACUUCAAAGCUUUUGUGACAACAUAAUAAUUUCAAAGUCUAGUUUGUGAACUCCAUAGAGAAAAGCUAUUCCGAGUAUUUUCUAGAAUUUCAAUGUUUGGUUCGUCUGUAAUUUCUUCUUUUAAGCUACCACUAGAUCUUGAUCCGCGUUUAGCAAGCGCGGAUUAUUUUAUGACGAAAAAUUUCACUAAUAAGUUAACAAAUAUUUUAUUAAUUUGUAAGAAUUUUGUGUAUUUAUAGUAUUUUUGCAUUUAAAUCAAUGCUUUUGAAUUCGACCCAAAACUCGCGGUUUAACUGGUUAAUCCGGUGAUCCGACAAUUCGAUUUAGAUUUGUAAAAAUAUUCAUAUUUAAAAAAUCACUAAAACCCGAGACUAAUCAAUUGAAAUGAUGGAUGACCAAUAUAUAAUCCAACUUGAUUUAAAUUGUUAUAGUUUCAUAAUUUGUCACCUUUUAAUCCAAAUUUUAAAGUUCCUUAUUUUGUAAUUUUAUGAAAUUAUGAUUUCUACAAAAUUUUGAUAGAGAAAAAUGAUAGAGAUAAAGUAAUUAACAACUAUAAAUAUGUCUUGAUCAUAUUGCUCCUUUUACAUAGCUUAAUUAAUUUUAUAAUGAUUGUUUUGUGUAAUUUAUCUUGGUAAUAAUUUAUAUUAAUUUAAAUUAACGUUAUAAAUAGUGGUCAUGAAUUUUAUAUUUAUGUAUUUUUAUUUUAUUUUGGUUAUAUAUACAUACCGUAUUUUUGUGGGUUGGUGAUGACGUCGUUGACAAGGUCAUAGGCUUCACCAAACUUGUAACUUGCAUUUGGGAGCUUGGUUUCGAGAUCUUGGAGCAUUGUGGCUGCAGCUUUGUUGAAUCUCUUAGCAAGAUUACUAGCCUUGUUUUGACAUUGACCAUCGAAGCUUAAAGCUCUUUGAAGUGGGAUACAACCCAUUGGUCCUAACCCAAACACCAUUAGCUUCCUCGCUCCCAAACUAUGCAACACCUAAAACACCAUAUCAUAUCACAAAGAAUAUGUAUCGGUCAAUUUAUAAAAAUAAAAGUAUGUAAUAAAGUGUUUGUUUAAAUACUAACCCUGAGUUGAGAAUCAAGUGUUUCCAUUAAGUAGUCGACGAAUGUUUGAUCAUUGUACUUCCAAGAAUCGCCAUAGACAGGCAUCAAGUAGUUGUUAAUAAAGUCAUUGCUGCCUAAAGCGACGACGUAUCGAGCUUGUUGGAAGAAUUUGUCUGCUUCUUGUUUCCCUAUCUUUGCCACAAUUACAUCUUGUGUCCCUUGGAAUAAUUCUAUUUGCUUCCAUAGAGAAAAUCUUUGGAUCUUCACAGUGAAAGCAACAACACAAUAAAAAAUCAUUUCUUUGAAACUUAUUCAUUUAAAAUAAUAAUGAGACUUACGAAAUAGCCACCAGUUUCAUUCAAGAUUCCACCACCUCCUGAAGCAUAGUUCACUCCAUUUUCAAGUAUAACAUCUUCAUUCAUUGAUGGAUCCAAAAAGGCUACUGGUCUUGGUAACCCAAUUUUAUCACCUGAAAAUUCAAAUAAAACCGCUAUAUAAGAAAGUAAUGCACAUGAUAUACCACGUUCGUUAUAUAACAUGCACACAUGACUUACCUAUAAUGUCUGAAACAGUUCGGCCAUUAGUGAACCUUCCAUUAGGCAAACCAUUGCCAAAAUCUAUACCGUAAAAGGGCAGAUUCGCCUGCGCUAAGCUCCUCGGUAGGUUCCUAUUGUUGCCUACAUCAGACAACGAGUCCCCAAAUAUAAACUGGACGAUCUUGCAAUCGUAGCCGUCAGAAGCAUUGAGUCCAAGAACGAUGAGCAACACGAAUAUAGCGCAG
rnacentral:lncRNA from 1 species